AGGGUCAUGGCUCAGUGGCAGAACAUCUGCUUUGCAUGCAAAAGGUCCCGGGUUCAAUCCCUGGCAACUCCA